rnacentral:lncRNA from 1 species
CGCGGACAGAGAGAAAUGCCGAGGAAUAGGGGCGCGGCCGCCCGGUUUCGGCGAUGGGUUAUAGGGUCCGCGUCAGCCCCGCGCCCGCACAGCCAACGUCACGCCGCAUUCUUAUUUCCAAAGACCCCUGGAGCUUGGGGUCCCACCCCAGCGGUCUUUCGGGGCGUCCCCUGCCCUUCACGCGCCGCGCCGGCUCGGCCCGAAGCGCCCUGCGGACCCGCAGCCUGGGCCGCCCCGAACCUGACGGCCCCGCGGGGGUCGGACGCGGGAGGAACGGCCUCGCUUUCAGAGACGCAGCGGGAGGGCGGUCCCCGCUGUCCCUCUGGCCGGGUCCUCAGCACGCGUUCUCCUCACUCCCAGGACUAGCGAGCGGCGGGCGCGGACCGGGGCCUGGGGUCGGAGGCGGCGCAGCCAGAAAGGCCCCAGCGGCGCUGAGACGUUUGGGGGAAGGCGGGGGCUUCGCGUUUCGAUGGCGGGAAGCGGAAUGAGGUUGGACCGGCCGGGCCGGCGUUCAGGGACCCGGCGGGAGGCGGAGGGCUGGCGUCCUCGCGGACAUCCAUCUGCAGCGAACCAGGCAGAGGCUUUGGGAUUAGAUCCUUGACUCCUUGCGUCAGUAGUUAAGCUUUGUGAUGGUCUGAGGUCCAUGAAGGGAUUAAAACCAGGAACUGGCUCCUUCUCCAACCACUAAAGCCUCAUCUGGGCCCACAAGCCCUGGCUGUUCCCUGGAGCGUGACUGGAAGAUGUGAGCAGCUUUGUGCUGGAGCCCCAUUUCCAUGGUGCAUGCUGCUGCCAAACCAGAGAUCACUUGUAGACUUGAAAGGGAACAUGAGCUUUGGGUGAAGGAUUCCCAGCCCCCAACAGAGGCCAAAAAGCUACCACCCAGCCAGGCAGAAGGAACAUAAAGUAUGCAUUUUAUGAUACGACUCAGCUUGGAGGGAUGAAGUAGAAGGUCCUCACUGCACCUCAUGGCAGGCUGCUGACGGCAGAUAUUUUACCGGGCUCACUGAACUGGGCAGUCAGGGAAGGGUCGGCUCCUGCUCUGUCCAGCUGUCUUCAUAAGGGACUCUGUGACACUUUUUAUAAAAAUGACUUUGAUUUCUGCAUAAGAAGGCUUCCCAAGCUUGCUGUCUAGCAGUGGCUGCUACAGGGAAUUAUUCACAUGGCAGCAAGAGAGCCCUGGCUCCCUGGACCAGGACAUUCCCUUUGUGUGUGUUGGAAUGAGAGCAGGAGGAGUGCUGGUCAGAAGCCCCUCCCCAGGGCUCUGGGACUUCAGUGUUCUCAGACAAACUGGGCCGCUCCUCUGAGCUGGGAUGCUGACCCACACUUGGCCCCGGCUCUGGCAUCCACAGGACGCUGCCUUAUCCGUCAUCUCGCUGGGGCUGGGGGCUAGAGGCUGAGCAGGUCACACUGAACAAAAGAAGUGUGUCCCCAUCACUAGGCUAACAUCUGAGUUUCUUCCACAGUAUUUGGUAACACAGUCAGAAACAAGACUGAAGAUGAUUCUGGAGGCAACUGGGAACCCCCCAGAACGAUUCUGCAGGCUUCUGGGAAGCUGAAAAACCCCAAGGCCAGACUGGCCUCAGAAUGCCUGAGUCCUUUUGAUUCCACUGGAAAAGCCAUCCAUCUGUGCCAAGUGUGUGGAGAGCUUCAAGAGCCAUAUAGCCCUGGCCACCAUGAGCACAGCCACGUGGGGGAGUAGUCCUGAAAGUGUCCUGGUGUGGCAAAGGCUUUCCACUAAGUGGACCUCAGAUGGCACAGGAAGACCCUCCUGGGGAUGUGGGAGGACACUGCCUAGUGGGUGAGGGGCCGCUCUUUCAGGUGUGCACACUAAAUGCAGAGACAGCCUCUCCUGGCUGCCAAGAAGCCUGUGCAUGAUCCAGGACCACAAAACACUUGCAAACUCACUGCCCAGAGGCCCUGUGCCUGUCUGGAGUGUGCCCAGUGUGUCUGCGCCCCACAGCUUGUCCUGGCCCGCCAGCAGAGCCGCAGCACUGCAGGGCCCUUCUGUUGUGAGUGCCAGGGCCCUUGCUGGCUGCCUGAGCAAGGCAAAAGGUUCAAAACAGGAAGUCUCUGGGCAGCUAUUCCCAGGUGCAGAGGGGAGCAGCGGCCACACAGGUGCCAGUGUGGCAGGAGCUGCAGUCAGAGGCAGCAUCUCAAGAGCCCUGGGAGCAGGGGCCAGCCACGUGAAGCCCACGAGUGUCGCUGGCACAGGGAAGGGACACGAGGAUCACACUGACCCAAGAGAAGGCCCACAGUGAGGAGGCCCCACCGAAGCAUCCCCAGCAACAGGGACUGAGGCAUCUGAGGCAGCCAGCCCACUCGGAAAGGCCUGCUGACUGCACUCCAGAUGUCAAGAGCACCCUUGGGAAAAAGAAAGGCAGGAGUGCAGCACUUUCUAGAGCCUCAGCUCACUUCUCUCCUUCUAGCUCCAGCCGGAGUGAUGGAAGAGGCUGCGCUGGGAGCUGCCUCCCUGGGAGCCUACCCUGCCCAGCCUGAGAGUGGAGGCUACCAGCAUCACGCUUCCCCUAGUGAAAUCCAUCUGUCCUGAAGGGAACCCUGGGACGGGGUCAAGGAAACCCUGUUCACCCCCACCACGGGGUCAGGUCUUCACCAAAGGGAGGCCGCACGGAUUCCCAGUCGCAAACCCAAAGCCUUGCUGCCUUUGCCUCUGUUUCCAUAGUUGUUUCAAUGUCUUUUUUAAAAAUCACAUACACUCGAGUAAGACUGAGUCUCCUCACCGAAGAGAUCUGGCUGUAUCCCGAGUCUCUGAAACCUUUGCUCCAGUCCCGUGGGAGCGUGCCGUCCCGAGGAUGUGGAGCCGCAAGGGCUCGCCAGAGGGAUCUCAGGAGCUAGGCCUCAAGGAGCGCUGUUGAGUGACAGGUCUGAUGCAGUAGCUUUUACUAUUGGUGGAAAUCGAUGUUUUUUCCUUGAAAGUCUACCUUUCUAAGUUCAGUAAACCAAAUUAGAUCAUGU